rnacentral:lncRNA from 1 species
AAUCCAUUAAUUUUGACAGGAGUUUGGAACGUAACGAACUCAAGGAAAUCAAAGCAGAAACAUUCCAAAAUCUUUCCAGUGUAACAACAUUAUAUUUGAAUAAAAAUAAACUCAACAAAAUUCACGUUGGAACAUUCGAUGAUCUGUCCAUGUUAACAUAUCUGAAUUUGGGUGAUAAUAACCUCCAGGAAAUCGAGGUAGAAACAUUCCGAAAUCUUUCCAGUUUAACAAAACUGUA